rnacentral:rRNA from 1 species
UGGGGAAUUUUCCGUAAUGGGCGCAAGCCUGACGGAGCAAUACCGCGUGAGGGAGGAAGGCUUUUGGGUUGUAAACCUCUUUUCUCAAGGAAGAAGCACUGACGGUACUUGAGGAAUCAGCAUCGGCUAACUCCGUGCCAGCAGCCGCGGUAAUACGGAGGAUGCAAGCGUUAUUCGGAAUUAUUGGGCGUAAAGCGCGCGUAGGCGGACUAUUAAGUCAGGGGUGAAAUCCCGGGGCUCAACCCCGGAACUGCCUUUGAUACUGGUAGUCUAGAGUUCGAGAGAGGUGAGUGGAAUUCCAAGUGUAGAGGUGAAAUUCGUAGAUAUUUGGAGGAACACCAGUGGCGAAGGCGGCUCACUGGCUCGAUACUGACGCUGAGGUGCGAAAGUGUGGGGAGCAAACAGGAUUAGAUACCCGUGUAGUCC